ACCCAUCUGACGAGUCUCAAUCAGGACGAAAUGCGCGUCCCAGAU
rnacentral:hammerhead_ribozyme from 1 species